UACAGAGGGUGCAAGCGUUGCUCGGAAUCAUUGGGCGUAAAGGGUUGGUAGGUGGUCUCGUUUGUCUGGGGUGAAAGCCUUGAGCUUAACUCAAGAAGUGCCCUAGAAACGGCGAGACUGGAGUCUUGGAGAGGGUCGUGGAAUUCCUGGUGUAGCGGUGAAAUGCGCAGAUAUCAGGAGGAACACCGGUGGCGAAGGCGGUUCUCUGGGCCUUACCUGACGCUGAGGAGCGAAAGCGUGGGGAGCGAACAGG
rnacentral:rRNA from 1 species